rnacentral:lncRNA from 1 species
CUGAAGCAGAAGAGAACAGGACAGACUUCACUGAGAUGAAACUAUGUGUGAGAGAGGCAGGCACUGGAAUCAUGUAGUGGAUCCUUAGUUCCCUCUCUAGGGCUGACAUACCCACCCUGCAGCUGCUGGGCACCUGGCACUGAUUGCUCACAGCUGGACUGGAAAUUGCCCUUCUGUCACAGCUUACGCAAGUUAUACUCCCUCCCGGGGUGGCCUGCGGUCAAUGACAGGCUGAUGCGAGGGUGGAGAGGAUACAAAGCCUGGACCCUCCCCCCACUUUGGGGACAUUUUGAAGGUCCCUCCCAGCACCAGUGUUUCCCCAGGAUCUACUGAGGGCUUCUGUUCCCACCACACUGCAGGAGCAAUCUUUUGAAAAUCUCCUUGGAAGGCACACUCAAUUCAAAGAUGACCAUGGGAAUGAUUGACCUAGCUUCCAAGAGAUUCAUUUGAUGUUUAGUUACAGGAUAUCCAUCGAUGACAACACUAACAAGGAAAAACAUGAAAAUAAAAAUUC